rnacentral:rRNA from 1 species
GAGUUUGAUCAUGGCUCAGAACGAACGCUGGCGGCAUGCCUAACACAUGCAAGUCGAACGCUAUUUAUAGAGUGGCGCACGGGUGAGUAACGCGUGGGAACCUGCCUUUUUCUGCGGGAUAACGGUUGGAAACGACCGCUAAUACCGCAUACGCCCUACGGGGGAAAGGUCCGCCGGAAAAAGAGGGGCCCGCGUCUGAUUAGCUUGUUGGUAGGGUAAUGGCCUACCAAGGCGACGAUCAGUAGCUGGUCUGAGAGGAUGAUCAGCCACACUGGGACUGAGACACGGCCCAGACUCCUACGGGAGGCAGCAGUGGGGAAUAUUGGACAAUGGGGGCAACCCUGAUCCAGCAAUGCCGCGUGUGUGAUGAAGGCCUUAGGGUUGUAAAGCACUUUCACUGGUGAAGAUGAUGACGGUAACCAGAGAAGAAGCCCCGGCUAACUUCGUGCCAGCAGCCGCGGUAAUACGAAGGGGGCGAGCGUUGUUCGGAAUUACUGGGCGUAAAGGGCGCGUAGGCGGUCUUUUAAGUUAGGCGUGAAAGCCCCGGGCUCAACCCGGGAACUGCGCUUAAGACUGGAAGACUAGAAAACGGAAGAGGGUAGUGGAAUUCCCAGUGUAGAGGUGAAAUUCGUAGAUAUUGGGAAGAACACCAGUGGCGAAAGCGGCUACCUG